GAUGAACGCUGGCGGCGUGCUUAACACAUGCAAGUCGAACGGUGAAGGCGGAGCUUGCUCUGCUGGAUCAGUGGCGAACGGGUGAGUAACACGUGAGCAAUCUGCCCCUGACUCUGGGAUAAGCGCUGGAAACGGCGUCUAAUACUGGAUACGAGCUGCGAAGGCAUCUUCAGCAGCUGGAAAGAAUUUCGGUCAGGGAUGAGCUCGCGGCCUAUCAGCUUGUUGGUGAGGUAAUGGCUCACCAAGGCGUCGACGGGUAGCCGGCCUGAGAGGGUGACCGGCCACACUGGGACUGAGACACGGCCCAGACUCCUACGGGAGGCAGCAGUGGGGAAUAUUGCACAAUGGGCGAAAGCCUGAUGCAGCAACGCCGCGUGAGGGAAGACGGCCUUCGGGUUGUAAACCUCUUUUAGCAGGGAAGAAGCGAAAGUGACGGUACCUGCAGAAAAAGCGCCGGCUAACUACGUG
rnacentral:rRNA from 1 species